GGUUAAGUUAUGAAGGGCAUACGGUGAAUGCCUUGGUGCCAGAGGGCGACGAAGGACGUAGCGAGCUACGAUAAGCCACGGGGAGCCGCAAGCAGGCUUUGAUCCGUGGAUUUCCGAAUGGGGCAACCCACUGCGAGUCAUGUCGCAGUACCCAUACCUGAAUAAAAUAGGGUAUGAGGAGUCAUACCCGGGGAACUGAAACAUCUUAGUACCCGGAGGAAAGUAAAGCAACCGCGAUUUCCCAAGUAGCGGCGAGCGAACGGGAAACAGCCUAAACCUUAUCUGUGUAAUAGCCUGCCGGCGUUGCAGAUAGGGGGUCGCGGGGCACAUCAUGGACUUCGGCAGGAGUCCGCAGCGGAAGUCUUUUUUCUAGUCGAACGGUCUGGAAAGUCCGGUCAUAGAAGGUAACAACCCUGUAGACGAAAGGAAAAAGUCAGCUGUGAUGUGUACCCAAGUAGCACGGGACACGUGAGACCCCGUGUGAAUCAGGGAGGCCCACCUCCUAAGGCUAAAUACCAACUGGCAACCGAUAGUGAACCAGUACCGUGAGGGAAAGGUGAAAAGCACCCCGGGAGGGGAGUGAAAUAGAACCUGAAACCGUAUGCUUACAAGCAGUGGCAGCACUAUGGCACAGUUCAGCUGUGUGAUGUGUGGCCGCGUACUUUUUGUAGAACGGGCCAACGAGUUACGUUCUGUAGCAAGGUUAAGUGGUUCUGCCACGAAGCCGCAGCGAAAGCGAGUCUGAAUAGGGCGAAUGAGUUGCAGGGCGUAGACCCGAAACCGAGUGAUCUACCCAUGGCCAGUGUGAAGCUUGUUUAAACGCAAGUGGAGGCGCGAACCCACCAAUGUUGAAAAAUUGGGGGAUGAGCUGUGGGUAGCGGUGAAAUGCUAAUCGAACUCGGAUAUAGCUGGUUCUCCCCGAAAUAGCUUUAGGGCUAGCGUCGGAUGAUGAGUCAUGGAGGUAGAGCACUGUUUGGGCUAGGGGCCUUACCAGGUUACCGAACUCAGAUAAACUCCGAAUGCCAUGAUCUUUAAUCCGGCAGUCAGACUAUGGGAGAUAAGUUUCAUAGUCGAAAGGGAAACAGCCCAGACCGUCAGCUAAGGUCCCCAAGUACAGACUAAGUGGAAAAGGAUGUGGAAUUGCUUAGACAACCAGGAUGUUGGCUUAGAAGCAGCCACCAUUUAAAGAGUGCGUAAUAGCUCACUGGUCAAGUGAUUCUGCGCCGAAAAUGUAACGGGGCUAAGUCUGUCACCGAAGCUACGGCUUGUCAGCACUUUACUUUGUUUGAUCAACAUGGUUACAUUUCGCGACACUUCAGUGCCGCAAAGUAACUCCCAGCUGCAACGCUGAGGGUUAGUAAAACCAUGGCUAAUGUAAACAGAAACAGCGCAGAGGAGAGGCGAUGAAGGUCGCCAAAUUCCCUCCAGCUAAGUCUGUUACAGCCGAAAAUGAUAGGCAAAGUUAAGUGCUGACAGGGGUAGGGGAGCGUUCUAGUCAGCGUCGAAGCUGUACCGUAAGGAGCAGUGGAGCGGCUAGAAGAGCGAAUGUUGGCAUGAGUAGCGAGAAGGCAAGUGAGAAUCUUGCCCGCCGAAAACCUAAGGUUUCCUGAGGAAGGCUCGUCCUCUCAGGGUUAGUCGGGACCUAAGCCGAGGCAGAAAUGCGUAGGCGAUGGACAACAGGUUGAUAUUCCUGUACCACCUGCAGCCGCUAUUAGCAAUGGGGUGACGCAGAAGGGUAGGCACAGCGCACCGUUGGUUGUGUGCGUUCAAGCGUUUAGGGAGUGCGGAUAGGCAAAUCCGUCUGCACAUUAUCCUGAGGCGUGAUGAGGAGCGAAAUUUUAGUAGCGAACUGGCUGAUCCCAUGCUGCCAAGAAAAGCCUCUAGUGAGGAUGUUAGGUGCCCGUACCGUAAACCGACACAGGUAGGUGAGGAGAGAAUCCUAAGGCGCGCGGAAGAACCUUCGUUAAGGAACUCGGCAAAUUGACCCCGUAACUUCGGGAGAAGGGGUGCCCCGUUAGCGUGAUACAAUUCUGUUGAGCGCGAGGGGGCCGCAGAGAAUAGGCCCAAGCGACUGUUUAGCAAAAACACAGGUCUCUGCGAAGUCGUAAGACGACGUAUAGGGGCUGACGCCUGCCCGGUGCUGGAAGGUUAAGAGGAGAGGUUAGCGCAAGCGAAGCUUUGAAUCUAAGCCCCAGUAAACGGCGGCCGUAACUAUAACGGUCCUAAGGUAGCGAAAUUCCUUGUCGGGUAAGUUCCGACCCGCACGAAAGGCGUAACGACUUGGGCGCUGUCUCAACGAAGGAUCCGGUGAAAUUGUAGUACCUGUGAAGAUGCAGGUUACCCAUGACAAGACGGAAAGACCCCGUGGAGCUUUACUGUAGCCUGAUAUUGGAUUUUGAUAUGGAAUGUACAGGAUAGGUGGGAGACUUGGAAGCCUGGGCGCCAGCCUGGGUGGAGUCACCCGUGGGAUACCACCCUUUUCAUAGCGGAAUCUAACCGCGA
rfam:Dethiobacter alkaliphilus AHT 1 ctg18, whole genome shotgun sequence.